UCCCUGGUGGCCCAGUGGUUAAGACUCUGUGCUCCCAAUGCAGGGGCCCUGGUUCGGUCCCUGGUCAGGGAA
rnacentral:tRNA from 1 species